rnacentral:rRNA from 1 species
AUGGCGCCGCCGCCAGCCUCCCGCCGAGCAUCACCGCCGGAGCCGCCAUUCCUUCGAACUCCAAAUGAGCUCCUGGAGGACAUCUUCCUCCGCCUCCCCACGGCGGCCGACCUCGCCCGCGUCUCCACCGCCUCCGCCUCCUUCCGCCGCGUCAUUGCCGACCACGCCUUCCUCCGCCGGUACCGAUCCCUCCACUCGCCGCCUCUCAUCGGCAUGAUCGCCGGCCACUUCAUACCAGCCCAGCCGCCGCAUCCGUCCGCUGCCCCCGCUCGCGCAUUCGCCGGCUUUGACUUCUCCUGCUCCUCCUUCCUCCCCUCCACGGCCGGCCGUACCUGGAGUCCACGCGACUUCUUCGACGGACGUGCCCUCCUCGCCAGCGCCCCGGCGUCUGUGAUUUCAAUGUCUGAAAGAGUGGGCGUGCCCUGCUUAAAUUAUGUGUUUCCUUGA